ensembl:piRNA 21ur-13791 ncRNA
UUUUUCCAUCGUUUACCCCAU